rnacentral:rRNA from 1 species
AUUGAACGCUGGCGGCAGGCCUAACACAUGCAAGUCGAAUGGUAACAGGAAACAGCUUGCUGUUUCGCUGACGAGUGGCGGACGUGUGAGUAAUGUCUGGGAAACUGCCUGAUGUAGGGGGAUAACUACUGGAAACGGUAGCUAAUACCGCAUAACGUCUCAAGACCAAAGAUGGGGACCUUCUGGCCUCUUUCCAUCAUAUUUUCCCAGAUGGGAUUAGCUAGUAGGUGGGGUAACGGCUCACCUAGGCGACGAUCCCUAGCUGGUCUGAGAGGAUGACCAGCAAAACUGGAAGUGAGACACGGACAAGACUACUACGGGAGGCAGCAGAGGGGAAUAUUGGACAAUGGGCGAAAGCAUGAUGAAGCAAUGCCGCGUGUAUGAAGAAGGCCUUCGGGUUGUAAAGUACUUUCAGCGGGGAGGAAGGGAGGAAAGUUAAUACCUUAGCUCAUUGACGUUACCCGAAGAAGAAGCACCGGCUAACUCCGUG